UAUAAAUAGCGCGUAUAGCUCUUUUCUGC
rnacentral:sRNA from 1 species